UGGCAUUAUGUUUUGUUGUUUUAUUUAUUUUAUCUGUAAAAUAAGGCUUGAAAUUACAUAGAUUAAGUAUAACAAAGGAUAAUUUCCCAUAGUUCUAGACAUGGAUAGGAAAUAGAGUUGGAGUAUACAUAAUGGUAAUGAACACCCUGAUAGGUCUUUUAAUGAGAAACUCCAAUGCAGUACAAUUCUAAAUGAGAAGCACAUUAACAUCCCUGGGUACAAAUUCUCCAUCAUUACAAAAUGAAAUAAACAACAGGGAACACAGUGCGCAGCAAGAAGCCGCCAGAGUGAAUUAAGCAUGUGGGUUUAAAGCUAAAAGCGAAGCCAAAAUUUUAAUUUUAUGAGAUCUGUAUCCUGAAACAGGUAGGCAGGUACUGGUGUUCUCCCUGAAUAGUUUGAAAACAAGACACAUUUACAAUAAAUAGCACAAUCACUAAGCAUCUCAUAGAAUGUUCGUACUUAGUGUGCAGUCCAUAAGGUGACUUUGCUUCUGUAUUUUGUAGGUAAGACUGAGUAAAGUGAAUAGGUGUGUGGAUGGUUAAACAUGCAUCACAGAGGUUGGCAGUAACUUGAUUUUCCAUCACUUCCCUGCCUGCACUCUGUAUCAAAAAAAAACUUUGUUUAGCCCUGUUUUAUGCACAAUCAUAUUUUUUGAAUGUAGUGGAUAGUCAUCAUCAUUUAGCAGAUUAUGAUGAUUGGUUAAGAGUGUCAGCUGACGGCUUUCACAGAGCCCAUUGCUGUUGUGAAUUUCUACAAUGACUGUAAGGAAGUGAGUAACCUCUACCUUAACCACACCUCCAGCAAGGCUGGACUGUGGGUGCCCAGGGACCCUCAUUGAGUAUUAAACUGCUCAAAUUUUUUUUAGCACUGAAUGGAGCGACAGUGCCAGGGGACUCCAAGCACUAAAAUCAAUUCAAUGAGAUGAAAUGUUUAUAGAGUACAGUAUGCUAUGCAUUUAAAUACUGCUUGUUUUUUGUAUUAAUUAUUCUUAUCUAUGUUUAAGUUUUUUUUUUUUUUACAAAGGCAAACUAUGGGUUUUUGAGGGCAUCCUACUUCCUUAGACUUAAAGGGACGCUAUAGUCACCAGAACAACUACAGCUUAUUGAAUUUGUUCUGGUGAGUAGUAUCAUUACCUUCAGGCUUUUUGCUGUAAACACUCUCUUUUCAGAGAAAAUGCAGUGUUAACAUUACAGCCUAGUGAUAACUUCACUGGCCACUCCUCAGAUGUCUGUUAGAGAUCCUUCCUGGUUCAUGGCUGCCUAAAAUGCCUCCAAACAUUCAGUGUCUUCUCCCUCUGCAUGCAGAAACUGAACUUUCCUCAUAGAGAUUCAUUAAUUCAAUUCAUCUCUACGAAGAGAUGCUGAUUGGCCAGGGCUGUGUUUGAAUUGUGCUGGCUCUGCCCCUGAUCUGCCUCUUUGUCAGUCUCAGACAAUCCUAUGGGGAAGCAUUGUGAUUGGAUCAGGCUACCACUUCUGAUGAUGUCAGCAAGCAGUGGGCAGGUCUAAAGGAAACAGCCAACAAAUAAGCAGCUGCAGACUUGAAUACAAGUAAGAUUUUCGAUAUUUAGGGAGGCAUAAGGGGACCCAGGGGGGCCAUGUUUGUGUUCCUGACCCUAUAGUGCUCCUUUAAUAGAGGGUGCUGGACUCCAAUGGAACAGAUGGUACAAAUUAUGCAUUACCGAAUGUAAUCUUUCAGAAAAUACCAUAUAAGUGGCAUUUAUGUCACCACCGUACAAUAAGCUAUCUUUGCUGUCUUUAGAUUGUAAGCCCGUUUGGGCAGAGCCCUCUUUAUCCACUGUUCCUGUAUGCCAGCAGUGUUUUGUAUGCAUUAAAAAAAAAUUUGUUUACCAAUUGUACAGCACAGCAGAAUAUGUUGGCACUAUAUAAAUAUUUGUAACUUGCAGACACUGAGAUAUGAGCAUUGCUCAAGUCACUAAGACAGUAGUGAUCAGGAGUAUGACAACUUAAAGAAAUAGUGACCUCAGUAGGACUAGGAGGGUUGUGAUUAAUUGACUGUAGAAGUCCAAGUAAAACGAUUAGGAUGAACAUGAGUCAGAAUUACAAAAUAAUACAGCUCAAGGAGGAUAUGGAAACAGGGCUGAUUAUAAAUUAUAGUUAGUCCAAUUAUUUUAUAUGUCUCCAGUAGUAUAUUCCUUUGUGACUAACGGUUUCUCAGGACUGCUAUGAUAUCACAGGUAACUAUAUGUAUAAAGUGGAACUAUAAUCACAGCUAAAUGUACUUUUUAAAUUUGAAAGUGAUUUAUACCAGAAAAACUAACUAAGCUGCUUUAGAAUACUGACAAAACUACUUACAAGCAACUCAAAACUCAAUUUCCUGUGUUUUAAUUUAGCAUUAUGGGAAGCAGUAACAAACUAUGCUGUUUAUAUAUAGACUAAUUUAAGUACUGGAAAUAGCUGUUGUUGAAAUAGCAAGAAAUAUUUCUGUUGUUAUAAAUAUUCUUCAAAAACAUGUGAUUUUUAGCAGACACAAAUGAAAAAGAUGAAUAAUGUCUUUAGAACUAAUUCUAACUAUAAUUAAAGCAAAUUUAAAAUGAACCUGUUGUAUAGUAGGGGAAAAAAACAAAUACCUUCUAAAAUGGGUAGAAAUACAUUAUCUUGUGAUAAUUAAGUGCCAAAUGUAAAGAUUAACAGGGUUAUUCACUAAAGUGAAAAUAUCUGGGAAUUCAAAAUGAUUUAGAAAAUUAAGACCAAAAUAGUCGAAUUAGAAACAUUCUUGAAGUCAUUUCUGAUUUCAGUUUGGCUACUUGGGCCUUAAAUUUCAAAUUCACUUUGAAUUCCCAGCAAGUCUCACUUUAGAGAAUAACCCUGUAAAUAAUAUUUUAGGCAAUGAAUCCCUGAGAACAUCUCUAUAACGUUUGGCAAAUAAAAGUAACUGUGUGAGUGAAGCCAUGUUUUCAAAGAUAUGUCAAAGGCAACGAGGCAGGGGGCAAAAUUCUAGAUGAGACUUGGCACUGAGUUCAUUUUCACAUAUAAUACACAAGAUGCGUCAAGAACACAAUGCUCUCCAGCUGUUGAUGAACUACUGGACUGCUCCUAUGAUCAGUGAAGGACAUAGGUUCCCUAUCCAUGCCUUAAAGUAUCGAUAUAAUGUAGGGGUGUCAACAUUUUAAAUAAAUCUUCUUGUUCAAGAGACUAAAUCUACUAAAUUAAAUCUGUGGUAAGUGGAAAAAUUGAGACGAAAAAGCUAAUCGGGAAAAACUCUACAACUCUAUAAUAGCAACCAUUGGCUGCAGUUUUUCCAUUCACAUUUAUUUUGUGAAAUACAUUUUUAGUUAAUAGCGUCAUAUCCUCUGCUCUGUUUAUAAUCUCUCCCUCCCUUCAUCUCCUAGUGUGUGUCUGUGUCUCUUUGUGUUGUAUAAUGACUGUAGUGUUUGCUGGCUCUGUGUAAUGUAAGUGUAAUGCUUGUUGGCUGUGUGUAAUGCUGUGUGUUCCCCCUUCCAUGCACAGCUUUCUACAGGAACGUGGUCUGUGGUCCAUUGGGGGUUAAAGUAUCUGGUGGUCUAGUGGGAGAAGGUGUGAACUGCAGACCACUCUCCGUUGUAGCACCAGCACUCCGAGAGUGCUGAAUCCCAGUGGCUGCACUCUGACUCAUCGAAUGCCAGGACAUGAGGAAGUGAAUAUUGUGGUCUGCACCUGCUGGAGGAGCGAAGCACAUGCUCCCUGCUUUGACCCUGUCCUAUCUAGCGGAGGCUGGGCUAACAUCCCCCAAAAAACCUGCCUGCCCAGUGCCUGGAACUGCAUUUGCACUAGGAAUUCCCCAUCCCUGUACCAACCAUGUGUUCUGCAGACAUUAUAAUGUAUUUUGCUAGAACAAUGAGUGCCCAGAACAACAAAAUUAGCACAUCUAACAAAAAAACCCAUACAAUGGUAUGUUUUCAAAGACACCCUGAAAAUGUGUAUGGUCGUAUUUCUAACUAAAGAGCUUUUGGUUACCAGUUUCAAUGCUAAAUGCAAGUAUAUAGCUGUAGCAUAUAUUUCUUGUUAAUAUUCUGAUAUUUAUUCUGUCAGUGUUGGGGUGUCUAUCUUGGGAAAGCAAUGACAAGCAGAUAGAAAUUGUAGCGAACAGAAACUCGCCACAGGCUCCCGGAGGAGCCUUUUUGCCAGUCUCCUGCCUCAAGACUAUGGGCCAUGCGAAAAAGCUCAUAAAAUACUUUGUUCUUGCCCAUUCUCUAUUCUCAGGAACCGAACAGGCACACGAACCAUGGACCACCCGGGAGCUUGUUAAGCCUAAUUGACAGUUUGUAACACGUUCCACCGCAGUGUUCUAAUUGUUCGUCUGGGUGGCUGUUGUUCGCAUGAACAACCAUGAGGUGGCGGCCAUCCUGUGCGCAUGAACGCAGGCAGCGGUGUUUGGUCGUCGAGUUCAUGGAACUGAAAUUGGACACAGAAACUCCCGAACACCGCUGAACUUCCAGCAUCGCCUGCGUUUGGUUCUACACAACUUAGAAGGGCGCUGUUCGGUGGAAACGUUCACAUGAACAAGGUGAACAAGCUCCAGGGUAAGACUAUUUACUAUGUUCGGUAGUUUGUUUGUUUUAUAAACUACUGAACUAGACCGACUGCUAGCCAUGAUUUCCUGAAACGGUUUUGGGCAUAGGACCAUGUGCAUGGUCGGUCAAAUAAUUAGCUUCCAUGAAAAUCCCGAACCCCUGAACCAAUCUGGGUGAUUUUUGGAUAUGUUGGUCACCCAGAUCGGGGCUAUCAGGGGAUGUAAAUCUUGUGGGGUUUUCCUGUGUUUUGGGGGUACUUGAGGUAUUGUUAUAUUACAUGUUUUCUGUACUGGGAGAUAAUUUAAUUUAGAUGUGUACUUUGCAACAGUUUCAUCUCAGGUCCAGUGGGGAAUGUCCCUGAAAUGUAAUUAAGGAAACCCCUUGCAUGGGGAGUUACAUAAAAGGCCAUGUGUGGCUCACAAUAAAUCAGUUCAUCCCCAGCAUAGAGCCUCAUCUCAUGUGUGUUGGAGAAAGCUAUACCAGCUAUAUCCCUGCUCUUUGGAUUGCUGUAUGACUAGCUACUUUCAGGGCUACACGGCUAUAUUCUCUUGCAGGAGAGGUCUUCCCACUGGGAGCUGGAUCCAGGGUGGGAAGGGACAGCGGGACCCCAGCCAAGCUGCGGCAGCUUUGGGCUGGAAGUGCUUAUGGUGUCCCGGUGCAGUGCUUAUGGUACUCAGUGAUAACUAGGAAGCAUGAUUGGCGGAGGUACCCAGUUGGGGUACCAGGCGGUCCGCCACAGAAAUUAUUAUGGUAAGGAAACAAUAGUUAUAAAACUCAUGUUCAUUUCUCAGUAGAAAAAAAAAGAGAUUGCCAUUACUGACCUCACUUAUGUAUAUUCAUAUUAUUUCAGUUGUUAAGCUUGUAAGUUUGCAGAAUGACCGCAAUCACUUAAACCAAUCAGUCUUGGGCUUAGUCAAAGUAUCUCGAGAUGCAGCAAUUUGGGGGGAAAAACAACAUAUAAAAAUAACAUAAUCUCUGAUUAAUAUGUUUAGCGAGCGCUCUGUGAGCCUUGUGACCUGGCCUACUUGCCACGGAGCACCAUAAUCAGACUAAAAUCUCUAUAAAAGUGUUUGUUUUUUCUAACAAUUUUGAAAAUGUACUGUGACCUACUUUUACCGUGUUAGCAGGUUGCUGAAUUGUAAACAUCUUAAAUAAUAUCUGAAAAUGUUUAAAAAAAAAAACACCUGCCACCUGUCAUCCCCUCCUUCCCUUACUGCCACCUGUCACUCCCUCCUUCCCUCACUCUGUCACCCCCUACUUCCCUCACUGCCACCUGUAACCUCCGCACUGCCAUGUGUCACCUCCUACUCCCCUCACUGCCAUCUGUCACCGCCUGCUUCCCUCACUGCCACCUGUCACCCCCUGCUUCCCUCACUGCCACCUGUAACCCC
rnacentral:lncRNA from 1 species